rnacentral:rRNA from 2 species
UACCAGCACCCCGAGUGGUCGGGACGUUUAUUGGGCCUAAAGCAUCCGUAGCCGGUUCUACAAGUCUUCCGUUAAAUCCAGCUGCUUAACAGAUGGGCUGCGGAAGAUACUAUGGAGCUAGGAGGCGGGAGAGGCAAGCGGUACUCGAUGGGUAGGGGUAAAAUCCGUUGAUCCAUUGAAGACCACCAGUGGCGAAGGCGGCUUGCCAGAACGCGCUCGACGGUGAGGGAUGAAAGCUGGGGGAGCAAACCGG